rnacentral:rRNA from 1 species
UACGUAGGGUGCAAGCGUUAUCCGGAAUUAUUGGGCGUAAAGAGCUCGUAGGCGGUUUGUCGCGUCUGCUGUGAAAACUGGAGGCUCAACCUCCAGCCUGCAGUGGGUACGGGCAGACUAGAGUGCGGUAGGGGUGACUGGAAUUCCUGGUGUAGCGGUGGAAUGCGCAGAUAUCAGGAGGAACACCGAUGGCGAAGGCAGGUCACUGGGCCGCAACUGACGCUGAGGAGCGAAAGCAUGGGGAGCGAACAGG